UACGGAGGGUGCGAGCGUUGUCCGGAAUCAUUGGGCGUAAAGGGCGCGUAGGUGGCCCAGUCAGCGUGCGGUGAAAGCUCGGGGCUCAACCCCGAGUCGGCCGUGCGAACUACUGGGCUGGAGCACUGUAGAGGCAGGCGGAAUUCCGGGUGUAGCGGUGGAAUGCGUAGAGAUCCGGAAGAACACCGGUGGCGAAGGCGGCCUGCUGGGCAGUUGCUGACACUGAGGCGCGACAGCUAGGGGAGCGAAUGGG
rnacentral:rRNA from 1 species